CCAGAGCAUGCUGUAUGAAUAUAUAAUAGUAUGCCCAGUUUUCUUGUGUGGUUUGUGGAAACUGGUCACAUUACUUUAUAGCCACACCACAUAUAUUU
rnacentral:miRNA from 1 species